GGAUGAGGGUGAUCUUCCUACAACUUCUAUCACAGCAUUGAUGGCCAGGGUUGGUUGGCUGAUCUGGCUGGCUAGACAAGUGUCCCUUUCCACCCUCCCUGUUCCAUGUGCACCACUCUUAAGGCUGUGAACUUAGUCAAAGAGAAUGUCCUUCCCUGACUAGAGGAAGGAUAUACAAGUAGCUUUGCUCCCCUGCUAGAACCUCCAAACAAGCUCUCAAAAGGACCCUUGUUACUCAGUAAGUAAUUUCAAGAAUUGACAAGUCAGAAGACGUAAAAUUAAAAAGCUUAUGAACAGCUAUCAGCA
rnacentral:snRNA from 1 species